UACGUAGGGUCCGAGCGUUGUCCGGAUUCAUUGGGCGUAAAGGGCUCGUAGGUGGUCAACUAAGUCGGACGUGAAAUCCCUCGGCUUAACCGGGGAACUGCGUCCGAUACUGGAUGACUUGAGUUCGGGAGAGGGAUGCGGAAUUCCUGGUGUAGCGGUGAAAUGCGCAGAUAUCAGGAGGAACACCGGUGGCGAAGGCGGGUCUCUGGGCCGAUACUGACGCUGAGGAGCGAAAGCGUGGGGAGCGAACAGG
rnacentral:rRNA from 1 species